GAUCAUGGCUCAGGAUGAACGCUAGCUACAGGCUUAACACAUGCAAGUCGGAGGGGAAACGACAUCGAAAGCUUGUCUUUUGAUGGGCGUCGACCGGCGCACGGGUGAGUAACGCGUAUCCAACCUGCCCAUCACUUGGGAAUAACCUUGCGAAAGUAAGACUAAUGCCCAAUGAUAUCCCACGAAGGCAUCCGAAUGGGAUUAAAGAUUUAUCGGUGAUGGAUGGGGAUGCGU
rnacentral:rRNA from 1 species